GACGAACGCUGGCGGCGUGCUUAACACAUGCAAGUCGAACGGUGUGGCGAACGGGUGAGUAACACGUGGGUGAUAUGCCUUGCACUUAGGGAUACGCUUGGGGAACUGGGUCUAAUACCGGAUAGUGCAAGAUGAGCUCGGGGCCUAUCAGCUUGUUGGUGGGGUAAUGGCCUACCAAGGCGUCGACGGGUAGCCGGCCUGCGAGGGUGUACGGCCACAGUGGGACUGGGGUACGGGCCAGACGGCUACGGGAGGCAGCGGUGGGGAAUAGUGCACAAUGGGCGGAGGCAUGAUGCAGCGACGCCGCGUGGGAGAGGAAGGCCUUCGGGUUGUAAACUCCUUUCGACAGGGACGCGGUACCUGUAUAAGAAGCACCGGCUAACUACGUGCCAGCAGCCGCGGUAAUUC
rnacentral:rRNA from 1 species